GAAAAUCAAGAGGGGUGCUGGGCUUGCCUGGCUGAGAUGGGACUUAGGUUUCCGAACCCUGACACCUGAUCUGGAUAAUGCCAGCGUAGGGAGUAUUCAGACCAUGUCUG
rfam:Clostridium sp. FS41 CLFS41_contig000071, whole genome shotgun sequence.